rnacentral:rRNA from 1 species
CCUACGGGCGGCAGCAGUGGGGAAUAUUGGACAAUGGGGGGAACCCUGAUCCAGCCAUGCCGCGUGUGUGAAGAAGGCCCUCGGGUUGUAAAGCACUUUCAGUGAGGAAGAACGCCUGGUGGUUAAUACCCAUCAGGAAAGACAUCACUCACAGAAGAAGCACCGGCUAACUCCGUGCCAGCAGCCGCGGUAAUACGGAGGGUGCGAGCGUUAAUCGGAAUUACUGGGCGUAAAGCGCGCGUAGGUGGCUUGAUAAGCCGGUUGUGAAAGCCCCGGGCUCAACCUGGGAACGGCAUCCGGAACUGUCAAGCUAGAGUGCAGGAGAGGAAGGUAGAAUUCCCGGUGUAGCGGUGAAAUGCGUAGAGAUCGGGAGGAAUACCAGUGGCGAAGGCGACCUUCUGGACUGACACUGACACUGAGGUGCGAAAGCGUGGGUAGCAAACAGGAUUAGAUACCCCGGUAGUC